rnacentral:rRNA from 1 species
GUAGGAGGCAAGCGUUGUCCGGAAUUAUUGGGCGUAAAGCGCGCGCAGGUGGUUCUUUAAGUCUGAUGUGAAAGCCCCCGGGCUCAACCGGGGAGGGUCAUUGGAAACUGGGGAACUUGAGUGCAGGAGAGGAAAGUGGAAUUCCACGUGUAGCGGUGAAAUGCGUAGAUAUGUGGAGGAACACCAGUGGCGAAGGCGACUUUCUGGCCUGUAACUGACACUGAGGCGCGAAAGCGUGGGGAGCAAACAGGAUUAGAUACCCUGGUAGUCCACGCCGUAAACGAUGAGUGCUAAGUGUUGGGGGGUUUCCGCCCCUCAGUGCUGCAGCUAACGCAUUAAGCACUCCGCCUGGGGAGUACGGUCGCAAAGACUG